GGCAUGCAAAGGCUCACCAAGUCUCAAAGCCUGUUUUAUGGCGAGACAGAAGCCAAGCAUGCCAGGAUCUGCUCGGCCACGAGAAGGCUAGCAGAAUCCCAAGCUUUGAAGAAAUCAUCUAAGGCAUGCAAAGGCUCGUCAAGUCUCAAAGCCUGUUUAUGGCGAGACAGAAGCCAAGCAUGCCAACAGCAGCUCGGCCACGAGAAGGCGAGCAGAAUCCAAUUCCUCGAAGAAUUUAAGGCAUGCAAAGGCUCGAGAAAGUCUCAAAGCUUGUCUUAUGGCGAGACAGAAGCCAAGCAUGCCAGGAUCUGCUCGGCCACGAGAAGGCGAGCAGAAUCCAAAGCAUUCGAAGAAAUUCCUGAGGCAUGCAAAGGCUCACCAAGUCUCAAAGCCUGUCUUAUGGCGAGACAGAAGCCAAGCAUGCCAGGAUCUGCUCGAC
rnacentral:lncRNA from 1 species